UGAGGAAUAUUGGUCAAUGGGCGAGAGCCUGAACCAGCCAAGUAGCGUGCAGGAUGACGGCCCUAUGGGUUGUAAACUGCUUUUACGCGGGGAUAAAGUGCGUGACGUGUCGCGCAUCGCAGGUACCGCGUGAAUAAGGACCGGCUAAUUCCGUGCCAGCAGCCGCGGUAAUACGGAAGGUCCGGGCGUUAUCCGGAUUUAUUGGGUUUAAAGGGAGCGCAGGCCGCCCGAUAAGCGUGUUGUGAAAUGUACCGGCUCAACCGGUGAGUUGCAGCGCGAACUGUCAGGCUUGAGUGCACGGUAAGCAGGCGGAAUUCAUGGUGUAGCGAUGAAAUGCUUAGAUAUCAUGAGGAACUCCGAUUGCGAAGGCAGCUUGCUGCAGUGCGACUGACGCUUAGGCUCGAAGGUGCGGGUAUCAAACAGG
rnacentral:rRNA from 1 species